ACGUAGGGUGCAAGCGUUGUCCGGAAUUAUUGGGCGUAAAGAGCUCGUAGGCGGUUUGUCGCGUCUGCUGUGAAAACUGGAGGCUCAACCUCCAGCCUGCAGUGGGUACGGGCAGACUAGAGUGCGGUAGGGGAGAUUGGAAUUCCUGGUGUAGCGGUGGAAUGCGCAGAUAUCAGGAGGAACACCGAUGGCGAAGGCAGAUCUCUGGGCCGUAACUGACGCUGAGGAGCGAAAGCAUGGGGAGCGAACAGG
rnacentral:rRNA from 1 species